rnacentral:lncRNA from 1 species
AGGGAAAUUUGAAAGAUACAACUUUUAUAAGAACAUAUUCCCUAGCUAGCUGGCUAUAUAUUUGACUGAUUAUUAAUUAUGAAGAAAAAAAACUUCGCUUCUUCUUUCCCUUCUUCUAGGAUUCAUAAUGCUUUUUAGGAUAUUGAAAAAAAAGUUCACAAAAAAAAUUGCGUUAUUAUAUAAAUUGUACGAACAUAGUAAGACAUUUCAAUAUAUACCUAUGCAUGCAUUUCAUCAUCUAUAUAUAAAUUUACAGAAUGCGUAUAUAUAUAUAUAUAGCCUCUUUCAUGGUUCAGAUUCAAUUAAUUAUAUUAAUUGAUUUAAUUCAAAAGAGCCUAAC